rnacentral:rRNA from 1 species
GAGUUUGAUUCUGGCUCAGGAUGAACGCUGGCGGCGUGCUUAACACAUGCAAGUCGAACGGGCGAAUUAUAUCGGAGGUCUUCGGGCCGAAGAGAUAAUAAGCUAGUGGCGGACGGGUGCGUAACGUGUGGGUAAUCUGCCUUUGUCAUAGGAAUAACUGCUUGAAAAAGUAGCUAAUACCAAAUAACAUAUCGUAUAGGCAUCUAUAAGAUAUCAAAGAGAAAUCGGACAAAGAUGAGCCCGCAUCUGAUUAGCUGGUUGGUAGGGUAAAAGCCUACCAAGGCGACGAUCAGUAGCCGGCCUGAGAGGGUGAACGGCCACAUUGGAACUGAGACACGGUCCAAACUCCUACGGGAGGCAGCAGUGGGGAAUAUUGCACAAUGGGGGGAACCCUGAUGCAGCAACGCCGCGUGAGUGAAGAAGGCUUUCGAGUCGUAAAACUCUGUUGUAAGGGAAGAUAAUGACCGUNCNUAAAGAGCC